GCUGGAGCGGAGAGACAGGCUUCGAGCUUGCAACCAGUGCACCAUUGCUGGGCUGAGGAAGCAGAGAAGGUACAAGGCUGUCCUGAGGUUUGAACAUCCUCCGAGGUUGCCUCUCAGUCUCACUAGAGCAAUAUGCUGAAACUCUAGGGCAGCUUUGUGUGAGUCAUCUACUGGACCUGUGAGAACAGCAAGGACAAGUUCUGGACUCUUUGCCUGCUGCUUCCAGUAGCCCUCUGUACGUUAUGUGGCACCCAAAGUAUUACUCGCCAGGAAAAAAAAAUGGUUGAAGCAGAUAUCCCAGGAAAGCUCUUCAUUGGUGGGCUUAAUACAGAAACAAAUGAGAAAGCCCUUCAAGCAGUAUUUGGCAAAUAUGGGCGGAUAGUGGAAGUACUUUUGAUGAAAGAUAGGGAAACAAACAAAUCAAGAGGAUUUGCUUUUGCCGUCUUUGAAAGUCCAGCAGAUGCUAAGGAUGCAGCCAGAGACAUGAAUGGGAAGUCCUUAGAUGGAAAGGCCAUCAAGGUGGAACAAGCCACCAAACCAUCAUUUGAAAGUGGUAGACGUGGACCACUUCCACCUCCAAGGAGCAGGGGUCCUCCCAGAGGUCUGAGAGGCAGAAGAGGCAGAAGUGGUGGAACUAGAGGACCUCCCUCUCGUGGGGGACACAUGGAUGAUGGUGGCUAUUCCAUGAAUUUUAACAUGAGUUCUUCCAGGGGACCUCUUCCAGUAAAAAGAGGACCACCACCACGAAGUGGGGGUCCUCCUCCUAAGAGAUCAGCACCUUCAGGACCAGUUCACAGCAGCAAUGGAAUGGGAGGGAGAGCCCCUGUAUCACGUGGAAGAGAUAGUUAUGGAGGCCUACCUAGAAGGGAACCCCUGCCUUCACGAAGAGAUGUUUAUUUGUCCGCAAGAGAUGAUGGAUAUUUUACUAAAGACAGCUAUUCUAGCAGAGAACUACCCAAGUUCUCGUGACACAAGAGAUUAUGCACCACCACCAAGAGAUUAUACUUACCGAGAUUAUGGUCAUUCCAGUUCACAUGAUGACUAUCCAUCAAGAGGCUAUAGUGAUAGAGACGGAUAUGGUCGGGAUCGUGACUAUUCAGAUCAUCCAAGUGGAGGCUCCUACCGAGAUUCAUAUGAGAGUUAUGGUAACUCACAUAGUGCUCCACCUACACGAGGGCCCCCACCAUCUUAUGGUGGAAGCAGUCAUUAUGAUGAUUACAGCAGCCCACGAGACGGAUAUGGUGGAAGUCGAGACAGUUAACUCAAGCAGCUGAAGUGAUCUCUACUUAAGUGGUCGUGAUCGGGUUGGCAGACAAGAACGAGGGCUUCCCCCUUCUAUGGAAAGAGGGUACCCUCCUCUACACGAUUCCUACAGCAGUUCAAGCCAUGGAGCACCAAGAGGUGCCCGUGGAGGAAGCCAAUCUGAUAGAGGGGGGGGCAGAAGCAGAUACUAGAAACAAACAAAACUUUGGGCCAAAAUCCCCGUUCAAAGAAACAACAAAAAGUGGAAACUAUUCUGUCAUAACUACCCAAGGACUACUAAAAGAAAAAAAAAUUGUGUUAGCUUUUAAAAUUUUUCCUGUUAAGUUCCCCUUCAUAAUUUUUAUGUUCUUGUGAGGGAAAAAAGUUAAACAUGUUUAAUUUUAUUUCUUAUUACAAGUUGCUUUCAAUAAGCAAAUGUUAAGCGUGUAAGACUUGUACUAGUGUUGUAAUUUUCCAACUUAAAGGCCACUUCCUAUCUACUUUUCCCAGUAAGUGAGGCAAGCAGUUCUCAGAUCUUCCACAAACAUCUAGCCACCUAGAUGUACAUUGGUCUCCUUUGAGAGAUGAAUCAUCCUGCCUAUACAGAUAAGCUAUUAGAGGGUGGUCGGGGUACACUCCUCUUAGGAUUUCAGGGUGUCUUCCAACUGAAAUCUCAAUGUCCUCAGUAUGAAAAGCCUGAGAUCAGAUAUCUAUGUUAGCAAAGUGCUACUCACCCAGUAAACCCCCCUAAAUGAAACAAACCAACAAUGGAUAAUGCUGGCCAUAUACUGUCUUUUGACAUUUCUUUAGGAAUCUGCAAGAGCCUCCCUUCC